ACCCGGGGCAGGUGUGGAGUGUCUGCUGAGGCGAAGGCACUGCGGCUCCCUGGGGACACUCGUGGCCUCUCCAGGUUACUACAGAUGGGGGACAGCGGGUCCUUUGGGUCCACUGGGGGUGUGGCAUGGGGGGAGGGGCUGAGGGCAGCUUCUUGGCACCCGGGCUGCCCUGCCUCAUGGGUGCCCUUCUCAGGGCCUCUGGCCCCGCCUCCCAAGCCGCCCUCCUUCCUUGCUUCUGUCUCCUGACCUUUCAGUCCAAAGGGGCCCCAGGGGCUGCUGGGAGGAAGGUCAGGCCCUUGUCCUACUCCACACCCUCUGCUCUGCCCCUAACCACCCGGUGGGGGGUUACAAAGGCCCCACCCUGGGUGUUCUUUCUCUUCAAUCUCCAAGGAGGAUGGUUGGCCAGGCCCUGGGAGGAGAAAGGCUUCGAGCUGCAGCCAGGCUGGGAUCAGAUCCCAGACACCACCCUGAGCCCGGGAAGUCUCUCCCUGGGGCCCGCUGGCUGUCCUAGCAGCCCCCUGCCAUCACGCCCAGCAACCAGCCCAGGAGCUGCAGUCUGGCCUCAGGCUGCCUGGGUUGCUGGCCCAAAUGGAAACAAUGUCAAGGCCAGCCAAGCAGGAAGCUGGGACCGCCCUUUCUGGGGAGCUGGGAGUGGGCCAGGGUCCAGCCUGGCUGGAGGCUCCUGCUAUGGGGAGAGGCCAGAGCCUUUCCGAGCCCACCUGCCCGACAGCCCUGGUGCCAGCAGGCCCUUUCUGGAUGUCACAGUGUUCUUGUCUCUAAGGUGACAGCAGGAGGCUUGGGUCCUAGCCUGGCACCUGCCAGACAAGAGAAACUGGGAAAGGAGGCUAAAGGCCAAGGAGGCUGCAGACCCCGAGACCUACCCCGGUCACUGGACACUCACAGAUUUGCAGGUUGAUCGCAGAGUUGAACAACAGAGAAUGUGUGCACAGUGCCAGGCACAGGUGUGGUCAAGAUUCACCUGGGAGAGGAAGUGGGCAGGGGCAGAGGAGUGUGCCCACCUGAGCUGAAAGGCUGCAUGGCAGGUGACCAUUAUCACCAGUGUCGCCAGCCAGGUCACCUCUCUGAAUUUUGUGGUUGCAACCUCCAUGAUUCCCUAGAGCUGUUUUUACCCAGAACUAAUGAAAAAUUCUGCACAUUAAAUUCAUGCUAUUAGAAUAGACAGGCCCUCAAAGUGACACAGUCAGGUACCUCUUUUCACCAGCUCAGCCUGUGGCUGGGCUGGGCAUGUUCCAG
rnacentral:lncRNA from 1 species